rnacentral:pre_miRNA from 1 species
AUUCCCUGCCCAAAACGAGCUUACAGUCUAGAGGACUGUAUCUCUCUCCCCCUCUAGAUUGUAAGCUUCUUGAAGGCAGGGAUC